GACGAACGCUGGCGGCGUGCUUAACACAUGCAAGUCGAACGGAAAGGCCCUGCUUUUGUGGGGUGCUCGAGUGGCGAACGGGUGAGUAACACGUGAGUAACCUGCCCUUGACUUUGGGAUAACUUCAGGAAACUGGGGCUAAUACCGGAUAGGAGCUCCUGCUGCAUGGUGGGGGUUGGAAAGUUUCGGCGGUUGGGGAUGGACUCGCGGCUUAUCAGCUUGUUGGUGGGGUAGUGGCUUACCAAGGCUUUGACGGGUAGCCGGCCUGAGAGGGUGACCGGCCACAUUGGAACUGAGAUACGGCCCAGACUCCUACGGGAGGCAGCAGUGGGGAAUAUUGCACAAUGGGCGGAAGCCUGAUGCAGCAACGCCGCGUGCGGGAUGACGGCCUUCGGGUUGUAAACCGCUUUCGCCUGUGACGAAGCGUGAGUGACGGUAAUGGGUAAAGAAGCACCGACUAACUACGUG
rnacentral:rRNA from 1 species